CUUGUGAUAAAAAGGUCUGCGACCAUAUGUUAACCUCUUUGCUUAAUAUAAAAGGAAGUUCAGUGUGGAUUAUGGUCACAUAAAUUGUCCUGCAAAGAAAGUAACAAUGAAUUAAACAUUAGCAAUCAAUGCCACAUGGGACCUUAAUGGAGACGUGUAUUGCUCCUGACCUCCUGUAACACCAAAUAAUUUGUUUUGUAUAUUCGUUUGCAUGCCUUCUUCUUUAGCGAGCAUUUCAUUUAUUCUACUUGCACGCCUUCUAGUGGCUGAUAGUAGGUACUGAUUGAUUUUUGUUUAAGGAACAGCUAUACAGAGAUAAUAGAAGUGGCAGAUGUGCUGUGGUAGCAUGUGCCUGCUUUCCUCCCUUCUCAAUGAGCUGUGAUACAAAAAAAUCUGAAUGAAAAAAUUUAGGCUGCAAUAGCGGAUUUGGAGACAUGCUACAACUUGGUUACAGUCACUGCUUAGCACGGUUUGAUUACAUUCAGAUUUCAGUUCACUAGAGUUUAGAUUUUAGAUAACUACCCUGUAAGAACAGUUCUCCAAUUCACAUAUAGUCACAGCUUGGCUACUUUUACCUAAAGUUGGCAAUUUGGUUUUCAGUUCAUUACGAUUCAGUGUUUAAAGGGACUCUGUAUGCACCUAGACCACUUGCUCAUUGAAGUGG